rnacentral:rRNA from 1 species
AGUGAACGCUGGCGGUAGGCCUAACACAUGCAAGUCGAACGGCAGCACAGUAAGAGCUUGCUCUUACGGGUGGCGAGUGGCGGACGGGUGAGGAAUACAUCGGAAUCUACUUUUUCGUGGGGGAUAACGUAGGGAAACUUACGCUAAUACCGCAUACGACCUACGGGUGAAAGCAGGGGAUCUUCGGACCCUGCGCGGUUGAAUGAGCCGAUGUCGGAUUAGCUAGUUGGCGGGGUAAAGGCCCACCAAGGCGACGAUCCGUAGCUGGUCUGAGAGGAUGAUCAGCCACACUGGAACUGAGACACGGUCCAGACUCCUACGGGAGGCAGCAGUGGGGAAUAUUGGACAAUGGGCGCAAGCCUGAUCCAGCCAUACCGCGUGGGUGAAGAAGGCCUUCGGGUUGUAAAGCCCUUUUGUUGGGAAAGAAAAGCAGCAGGUUAAUACCCCGCUGUUCUGACGGUACCCAAAGAAUAAGCACCGGCUAACUUCGUG